rnacentral:sRNA from 1 species
UAGCAGACAAUAAUACUGAUGAGGUAGC